rnacentral:rRNA from 1 species
ACUCAAAGGAAUAGACGGGAGCCCGCACAAGCGGUGGAGCAUGUGGUUCAAUUCGACACUAAGCGAGGAACCUUACCAGGGCUUGACAUCCCGGGAAUCCGCCAGAAACGGCGGAGUGCCGCAAGGAACCCGGUGACAGGUGCUGCAUGGCUGUCGUCAGCUCGUGUCGUGAGAUGUCAGGUUAAGUCCUUCAACGAGCGCAACCCCCGUGUCGUGUUACAAUAUUCACGACAAACUGCCCACUUUAAGUGGGAGGAAGGAGGGGAUGACGUCAAGUCAGCAUGGUCCUCUGACGCCCUGGGCUACACACGUGCUACAAUGGCCGGGACAAUGGGUCGCGAAGUCGCAAGACGAAGCUAAUCCCACCAAACCCGGUCCCAGUUCGGAUUGGGGGCUGCAACCCGCCCCCAUGAAGCCGGAAUCGCUAGUAACCGCGCAUCAGCCACGGUGCGGUGAAUACGUUCUCGGGCUUUGUACACACCGCCCGU